CCUACGGGUGGCAGCAGUGAGGAAUAUUGGUCAAUGGACGAGAGUCUGAACCAGCCAAGUAGCGUGAAGGAUGACGGCCCUAUGGGUUGUAAACUUCUUUUAUAAAGGAAUAAAACGAGGCACGCGUGCCUUUUUGCAUGUACUUUAUGAAUAAGGAUCGGCUAAAUCCGUGCCAGCAGCCGCGGUAAUACGGAGGAUCCGAGCGUUAUCCGGAUUUAUUGGGUUUAAAGGGUGCGUAGAUGGGUUGUUAAGUCAGUUGUGAAAGUUUGCGGCUCAACCGGAAGAUUGCAAUUGAUACUGGCAGGCUUGAGUGCGGGUGAGGUAGGCGGAAUGCGUGGUGUAGCGGUGAAAUGCAUAGAUAUCACGCAGAACUCCGAUUGCGAAGGCAGCAUGCCGGCGCCCAACUGACGCUGAGGCACGAAAGCGUGGGUAUCGAACAGGAUUAGAUACCCGAGUAGUC
rnacentral:rRNA from 1 species